rnacentral:lncRNA from 1 species
ACCAUUAUCAAUAAAAGCACUUCCAUAAUAUUUAUUAGAAAAGUAAAUAGAACAACCAUUGUUCAUUGCAAUAAUUUCAAAACUUUGUUUCAAUAAUAAUGGUACAGAAAUAAUAUUUCUAUCAAUAUCUGAAAUAUAAUAAUAGAUCUUCAGUUCCAAAACUUUGCCUGAAGGCAACUUCAAAAUCUUGGUUCCUACGAUUUUGGCCUGAAUGGACUCUCCAC